GAGGCCCUAACUUAAUUAAAGUAUCUGAGUUGCAUUCAGGGGAUGCAGGUUAGUGUCCUGCGGGUCUUA
rnacentral:tRNA from 2 species